UACGUAGGGUGCAAGCGUUGUCCGGAAUUAUUGGGCGUAAAGAGCUCGUAGGCGGCUUGUCGCGUCGGCUGUGAAAACCUAGGGCUCAACCCUGGGCCUGCAGCCGAUACGGGCAAGCUAGAAUUCGGUAGGGGAGACUGGAAUUUCUGGUGUAGCGGUGAAAUGCGCAGAUAUCAGGAGGAACACCGGUGGCGAAGGCGGGUCUCUGGGCCGAUAUUGACGCUGAGGAGCGAAAGCGUGGGGAGCGAACAGG
rnacentral:rRNA from 1 species